GUUCUUCCAGCUGGCCUCCUUGCCACGUGCACACCCUGCCCGGAACCCGGCCCAGCUGCUUGCUGCUCGCCUGCCCACUUCCGUUUCCAGGAAGGGUUCCGGAGGCUGGCGGAGCAGGGGGCGGAGUGAUUGAUGACAGCGCGCGUGCCCCUGAACUCCUCGUCAAAGUUCUACAGGGUUGGCAGCCCUGUGCUGAAAGCUGCUCUGUGGCUGAGGCGGCAUAUGGACUGCUGACAGAGCAGCUGCUGGGGAAGAAGACGCUGAAAGGAAGCCUCUAGGGAUAAACAGAGAAACCCAUGGCACCACGUGGCACCCAAGGCAGAAUUCUCAUCCCCUUCACGGUUCCCACGGACAGUCCAGAUGAAAGUCUUGGGGAAGAAGAGAAAUGUUUUCCUACCUGCCCCAUAGUUUGAAAAACUGCUCCUCCCUGCAAAGUUGUAAG
ensembl:lncRNA